GGGGGGGGGGGGGGGGGGGGGGGGGGGGGGGGGGGGGGGGGGGGGGGGGGGGGGGGGGGGGGGGGGGGGGGGGGGGGGGGGGGGGGGGGGGGGGGGGGGGGGGGGGGGGGGGGGGGGGAAUGAAGACCCUGAUGGUAAGUGCAGUGUUGGCGCGGCNGACUGGCGGCCGGGAGGCGCACAAAAUGAAGACCCUGAUGCGCCACGGGCUGGCCGUCUGCCUGGCGCUCACCACCAUGUGCACCAGCUUGUUGCUCAUGUACGGCGGCAUCGGCAUCGGCGGGGGCCGCCCGGAGCCGCGGCGGCGGCAGGGGGGGGGGGGGGGGGGGGGGGGGGGGGGGGGGGGGGGGGGGGGGGGGGGGGGGGGGGGGGGGGGGGGGGGGGGGGGGGGGGGGGGGGGGGGGGGGGGGGGGGGGGGGGGGGGGGGGGGGGGGGGGGGGGGGGGGGGGGGGGGGGGGGGGGGGGGGGGGGGGGGGGGGGGGGGGGGGGGGGGGGGGGGGGGGGGGGGGGGGGGGGGGGGGGGGGGGGGGGGGGGGGGGGGGGGGGGGGGGGGGGGGGGGGGGGGGGGGGGGGGGGGCGCCGGAGCGCGGCCAGCGCCCCCCGGCUCUGCCCGUCGGGGCCGGCCUCCUGGAGGGCUACAUCAGCGUCCUGGAGCACAAGGUGAGCGCCGGCCGCGGGACCCCCUCCCGGCCCCCGGGGCAGCCGGGACCCCGCGCUGCCCCCGCUCCCUCGGGGGGCAGCGAUCC
rnacentral:lncRNA from 1 species